GCCCACACUCCUACGGGAGGCAGCAGUAGGGAAUAUUGGACAAUGGGCGAAAGCCUGAUCCAGCAAUGCCGCGUGAGUGAUGAAGGCCUUAGGGUUGUAAAGCUCUUUUGCCCGGGAUGAUAAUGACAGUACCGGGAGAAUAAGCCCCGGCUAAGUCCG
rnacentral:rRNA from 1 species